UGAGGAAUAUUGCGCAAUGGGGGCAACCCUGACGCAGCGACGCCGCGUGAGUGAGGAAGGUCUUCGGAUCGUAAAGCUCUGUCAAGAGGGAAGAAGUGCAAGGCAGCGAAUAACUGUUUUGUUUGACGGUACCUCUAAAGGAAGCACCGGCUAACUCCGUGCCAGCAGCCGCGGUAAUACGGAGGGUGCGAGCGUUGUUCGGAAUCACUGGGCGUAAAGGGCGCGCAGGCGGGCUGUCAAGUCAGAUGUGAAAUCCCACGGCUUAACUGUGGACGUGCAUUUGAAACUGGCAGUCUUGAGUACCAGAGGGGAAUGUGGAAUUCCCGGUGUAGAGGUGAAAUUCGUAGAUAUCGGGAGGAAUACCGGUGGCGAAGGCGACAUUCUGGCUGGAUACUGACGCUGAGGCGCGAAAGCGUGGGGAGCAAACA
rnacentral:rRNA from 1 species